GUGUUUGAACCACCCAACAAACACAGCACUUCCCUGGGUGCCGUGUGAGUGACUCAGUACAAAACACUGGGAGCAAAGGAAGCUCCAGGCACAGCCUAGAUUUUGUUCCAAGAAGAGACUUGAGGGAAGGUUUGUGGGUACUAAGUGAAAUCAGGCAUUUUGCCAUGGAUAUCCUAUUUUGGUUUGCACCUCUUGGCAUUUGCCCUUACAUCUUACCCUUGGUUUUGCCAUGGAAGAACUGCUUUGUCAGGUUCUGCUGUUCUACAGGACAAGAUUGAUGUUACAAACUAACCUCUGUAUUCUGAUUGCAUCUGAAAAGCCUGUGUGUCCUGCAACUGGCUGGUAGGAUGGUGGUGCUUUCCAGUACAAAUUCUGCACAGAAGCAGGCAAUUCUUGAACAUCAGCCACCACACUACUACUGACUGGAUUGAAAGUGACUGGAAUCUCAAUAUUUUCAUCUACUGCCUCCAAGUGCCAGUUCCUCAUGUCCACAAACUAAUGAAAAAUACAUAAAGGAAAUAAAACUUUGUUUCAUCCUUUAUUAAGCUUUACCAGCACCAAGCAAUGAGAAGAAAUUGUUUAGCCUCUGUAAUUCCCUGACCAUGACAUCCAAUCCCUUCACAGCCAGCGUAAAUCUUCACACAAUGCAUGGACCUCAAAGAGAGUGUAAAUGUAAAGAUGUGCCAGAGCUACUUGGGAUGCAGGCAUUUGGUUUGUCACCUGGAAACUAUAUUCUAUCUUCACCCACAUGAAGACAUAGCCUUUUGGAGGUGACUAGGAAUUGUGCACACAAACCCAAGGAUAUAAUUUGGAGAUGCUUUUUUAACUCCAUUCCAAAAUCAAACCCAAGGCACUAACCUAAAAGACAGUUUGGAUCAGGUUAACAGUUAGGGAGGGGACAUGGCAUGACAUUUUGGAGUGACAGGCAAUGUAGCCUAAUAUUCUGGCUCUUUAAUGCACAUUUUAUGUCUAUGGCUGCUGUUUCAUGAAAGAUCACGCCUCUUUUAAUUUAUCAUCAUGCUGGAGGAAAGAGAGCAUAAUGUGUAUGUAUCAGAACAGUUCUGGAUUCUGGUGUGUUGCCCUUGACUGGCCAGGGCAAUAAAACAAAAAGACGUGUUCUCAUAAAAAGUUUUUGGUGAGAACAAGUAAUGCCUAGAGGAAGUUUUCUACUGAUUUCACUUAGGCCACAUUUUUACCUUUUGCUUUUAAACAGUAAAGGGCACAGUCUGGAUUGCAUAUAGUCCAUGUCUAAACCUUAACUAAACUCCUCAUCCACCAUUCUAGCUCUCUUCUCUUUUCCUGUCCUUUCUCUCACCUUUUUUUCAGUCUUCAGCCAUUUUACUGUUCAUUUAUGCUACUAAAAAUCUUUAUCAUCAUCACACUUGAUGUCAUGUCUCUUAUAGGGAGGGAAGAAAGACUAUUUUUACAAUCUCUGUAGAAUCUGUCACAAUUCUUAAGAAUGCAUCUAUAACAUAGACAUGUAAAAUGCUAUGUGCUUAUCAAAGCAUCUUGAAGGAGAUCACUGACACAGAGUUUGAAGAUAAAGCUAGCGAGAUAAAGGCCCACUCAACUUCAGUCCAACUAGUGACUUGUUAACAAACAGGUGAAAAGGGCCAUUUCUGCUGAAUGGCACUUUCAGACUACACCUAAUCUUAAGAAGGUUGCACUAAAUCUUCACCCGGAGAAUUGCUUGGAGAAUAUUUCUCAUCCUUAGAAACUAAUAAAAUAUAUUUUCAACUCUGGAAGAAAUCUGGAAUUUCCUUAAUGGAACAAGUGUAAGUUCAUGAUAGAGAAGAAAAAAAUCUUUGGUACACC